AUUGAACGCUGGCGGCAUGCCUAACACAUGCAAGUCGAACGGCAGCGCGGGAGCUUGCUCCUGGCGGCGAGUGGCGGACGGGUGAGGAAUACAUAGGAAUCUGCCCUGUUGUGGGGGAUAACGUAGGGAAACUUACGCUAAUACCGCAUACGACCUACGGGUGAAAGUGGGGGACCUUCGGGCCUCACGCGAUGGGAUGGGCCUAUGUCGGAUUAGCUAGUUGGCGGGGUAAAGGCCCACCAAGGCGACGAUCCGUAGCUGGUCUGAGAGGAUGAUCAGCCACACUGGAACUGAGACACGGUCCAGACUCCUACGGGAGGCAGCAGUGGGGAAUAUUGGACAAUGGGGGCAACCCUGAUCCAGCAAUGCCGCGUGGGUGAAGAAGGCCUUCGGGUUGU
rnacentral:rRNA from 1 species